AUUGAACGCUGGCGGCAGGCCUAACACAUGCAAGUCGAGCGGAUGCAGGGAGCUUGUUCCUGGUUUCCUCGGCGGUCGGGUGCGUGUUGCCUAGGACUCUGCCUCGUCGUGGGGGAUAACGUCCGGUACCGGGCGCUAAUACUGCAUACGCCUUGUGGGAGAAAGUGGGGGAUCUUCGGCCUCCACGCUAUCACAUUAGCCUAGGUCGGAUUCGCGUGUUGGUGGGGUAAGGGUCUACCAUGGCGACGAUCCGUAACUGGUCUGAGAGGAUGAUCAGCCACACUGGAACUGAGACACGGUCCAGACUCCUACGGGAGGCAGCAGUGGGGAAUAUUGGACAAUGGGCGAAAGCCUGAUGCAGCCAUGCCGCGUGUGUGAAGAAGGUCUUCGGAUUGUAAAGCACUUUAAGUUGGGAGGAAGGGAAGUAAGUUAAUACCUUGCUGUUUUGACGUUACCAACAGAAGAAGCACCGGCUAACUUCGUG
rnacentral:rRNA from 1 species